UACGAAGGGGGCUAGCGUUGCUCGGAAUUACUGGGCGUAAAGCGCACGUAGGCGGCUUCUUAAGUCGGUGGUGAAAUCCUGGAGCUCAACUCCAGAACUGCCUUUGAUACUGGCGACCUUGAGUCCGGGAGAGGUGAGUGGAACUGCGAGUGUAGAGGUGAAAUUCGUAGAUAUUCGCAAGAACACCAGUGGCGAAGGCGGCUCACUGGCCCGGUACUGACGCUGAGGUGCGAAAGCGUGGGGAGCAACAGG
rnacentral:rRNA from 1 species